GUGGACGUGUUAGAGUGGUUAUCAGGCAUGACUAGAUAUCAUGUGGGCUCGAGCAGGUUCGAAUCCUGUCGUCCACA
rnacentral:tRNA from 1 species